GACGAAGGGGGCAAGCGUUGUUCGGAAUUACUGGGCGUAAAGGGUGCGUAGGCGGCCCUUUAAGUCAGAUGUGAAAGCCCGCGGCUUAACCGCGGAACUGCAUUUGAAACUGGAGGGCUUGAGUGUCGGAGAGGGUAGUGGAAUUCCCAGUGUAGCGGUGAAAUGCGUAGAUAUUGGGAGGAACACCAGUGGCGAAGGCGACUACCUGGACGAUAACUGACGCUGAGGCACGAAAGCUAGGGGAGCAAACAGG
rnacentral:rRNA from 1 species